GUGCCUAAGAGGUUAUAAUGAUCCCAAUAUUUACUGUCAUUCAUCAACUUUGUCAGCUGAAGUCAGAUCUGUUCAGUUGAUUUUCAUGGAUGACAAAAUU